CGCCUAAACCCAUAAAUCUUGGGCAUGGCGCAAAAACCUUUCACAGAUAUUAAGCUCGUCGUCAGAGCAUCUGUGAAAGGUCAUAUCUCGAAAGGGGUAUGGGUGGUCGCAAGGCCAUC
rnacentral:sRNA from 1 species